rnacentral:rRNA from 1 species
GAUGAACGCUAGCUACAGGCUUAACACAUGCAAGUCGAGGGGUCUUUUGGAGCUUGCUUUAAAAGACGACCGGCGCACGGGUGAGUAACGCGUAUCCAACCUGCCCUUCAUAUUGGGAUAGCCUUCCGAAAGGAAGAUUAAUACCGAAUAACAUGAUAGAGUUGCCUGAUUUUAUCAUGAAAGCUCCGGCGAUGAAGGAUGGGGAUGCGUCCCAUUAGGUAGUAGGCGGGGUAACGGCCCACCUAGCCGACGAUGGAUAGGGGUUCUGAGAGGAAGGUCCCCCACACUGGAACUGAGACACGGUCCAGACUCCUACGGGAGGCAGCAGUGAGGAAUAUUGGUCAAUGGGCGCAAGCCUGAACCAGCCAAGUAGCGUGAAGGAUGACUGCCCUAUGGGUUGUAAACUUCUUUUAUACGGGAACAAACCCUGGUACGUGUACCAGAUUGCGUGUACCGUAUGAAUAAGCAUCGGCUAACUCCGUGCCAGCAGCCGCGGUAACAC